AUAUCAGUCAUGCAUAGCAUAUCAUAAGCGGAGGAAAAGAAACUAACAAGGAUUCCCUUAGUAACGGCGAGUGAAGCGGGAAGAGCUCAAAUUUGAAAUCUUCAAGGUUUUACCUUGACGAAUUGUAGUUUAAAGAAGUGUUUUCUGUUGAAGUUUUGGUAAAAGUUCUUUGGAAUAGGACAUCAUAGAGGGUGAGAAUCCCGUAUUUGACCAUUACUUUCAGCUUUGUGAUACACUUUCAAAGAGUCGGAUUGUUUGGGAAUGCAGUCCAAAAUGGGUGGUAAAUUUCAUCUAAAGCUAAAUAUUGGCGAGAGACCGAUAGCGAACAAGUACCGUGAGGGAAAGAUGAAAAGAACUUUGAAAAGAGAGUUAAACAGUACGUGAAAUUGUCAAAAGGGAAGCGUUUGACACCAGUGUUGUUUUCUCGAAAAUCAAUUAAAAAGAGUUGGAUUUUGUGUUGUAUUGACUUUAUCAGCUUUCUUCACUCUUUUCCAGCUUUUUUUUAAUGCACUUUUCGUUUAACAAGUCAACAUCAGUUUCUUUUGUUGUAAAAAGGUCAUUGGAAGGUGGCUUUCUCUUCGGAGAAAGUGUUUAUAGCCUUUGACUCAUGCAAUCGGAGAGACUGAGGUCUGCAGCGUAGAUCCUUCGGGGUUAGAUACAUUUGUGCUAAGUUAUAGCUUUUCAUAGACAACUUGUUGACUAUGUUUAGUCUUGUAGCUUACUCGCUUAUGCUAUUUUACCUACGCUUAGGAUGUUGAACUCUAUCACACACAG
rnacentral:rRNA from 1 species